rnacentral:tRNA from 1 species
CCUAACGUUUUGGAAACCCUAGACCUUGAACGUCUAUNANAGGUGUUCAAUUCA